UACGUAGGGACCAAGCGUUGUUCGGAUUUACUGGGCGUAAAGGGCGCGUAGGCGGCAUGACAAGUCACUUGUGAAAUCUCUGGGCUUAACCCAGAACGGCCAAGUGAUACUGUCGCGCUAGAGUGCGGAAGGGGCAAUCGGAAUUCUCGGUGUAGCGGUGAAAUGCGUAGAUAUCGAGAGGAACACCUGAGGUGAAGACGGGUUGCUGGGCCGACACUGACGCUGAGUGCGCGAAAGCCAGGGGAGCGAACGGG
rnacentral:rRNA from 1 species